rnacentral:sRNA from 1 species
CAGGAGUGGAAGCUGGACACACUAUGUGACUUGUAUGAAACCCUGACCAUCACCCAGGCAGUCAUCUUCAUCAACACCCGGAGGAAGGUGGACUGGCUCACCGAGAAGAUGCAUGCUCGAGAUUUCACUGUAUCUGCCAUGCAUGGAGAUAUGGACCAAAAGGAACGAGACGUGAUCAUGAGGGAGUUUCGUUCUGGCUCUAGCAGAGUUUUGAUUACCACUGACCUGCUGGUGAGUAGAGGGAACUGACAGGAAAGGCAGAAGGGAGGAUCCAAGGUGAUUCCCUCUCCAAGGGGACAUCAGUGCCUCUCAGGAAAGUAGCAGCUUGGAAUAGAAUCUGGCAUGCCUAAGGCCUUUGGGGAACUGGGAUGCUUAUUUCCUCUGCCUUCCUUGGCUGCCCACAUGGAUGCCUAAGUGUCUUCCCUCCGGGAUAGUGUCCUCCGUGCACAUGCUGAAGAGUUGUCUUUCUUGACGUAGGCCAGAGGCAUUGAUGUGCAGCAGGUUUCUUUAGUCAUCAACUAUGACCUUCCCACCAACAGGGAAAACUAUAUCCACAGGUAAGUGUAAAUCUGGAAUACUCCCCCACCCCUUCACGCCUGGCCCUCCCUGGGCUUAAAGC